UACGGAGGAUGCGAGCGUUAUCCGGAUUUAUUGGGUUUAAAGGGUGCGUAGGCGGCGACAUAAGUCAGUGGUGAAAUAUUUCGGCUUAACCGAGAGACUGCCAUUGAUACUGUGUUGCUAGAAUAUGGUUGCUGUGGGUGGAAUGUGUGGUGUAGCGGUGAAAUGCUUAGAUAUCACACAGAAUAUCGAUUGCGAAGGCAGCUCACAAAGCCAUUAUUGACGCUGAGGCACGAAAGUGUGGGGAU
rnacentral:rRNA from 1 species